rfam:Larimichthys crocea isolate SSNF unplaced genomic scaffold scaffold510, whole genome shotgun sequence.
AAGGACUACACAGCUCCAUUAGUAGCUUUUGAUUUCAAUUGUAGUUUGAAAUCCUUUAACAAGGAUCAUUUGGAGGGCAAGUCUGGUGCCAGCAGCUGCAGUAACUCCAGCUCCAA